GCUCUUUAGGAUUUCAGACUAAGGGACUGUGGACCUAUACUACAAACUACAUUUGAAUCCAGCUGUGAGCAUACAACUUUACGAAGCAGCAGCAAUGAACAACAUUUCUGGAUUAUAUCCAGACAGUGUCACCAGGACUGGAAGGAUGAUCAGUUUGAUUCUGGCUCCCCUGAUUACACCUUGGCUCCAAGGACAUAAACAUCCAAGCCUGGUAAAGCCUAUGCAAGAGCGUCUGGGGCUGGAGAUAGCUUUCCUAGACCUGGACGUGGAAGAAAGUCUACAUCUCAUCCCUGGCAGCAGCCUGGAGCAGCUAAGAAAAUGGGUUUAGGAAGUCUCAGUCCAUUUUCAGAAGAAUAGAAACUAGUGCAAGCAUGUUCUGGGGUGGGAACUGAGGGACCUCCAAUAUAUAAAAUAGAAAAUCAGGCCUGAGGGUAAGGCAACAAGACCAGUAACUAAAGUUUGAUGACCUCUCUUUUUACUUGUGGAUGUACCAUACAAGGAGCCAACCUCCCAGUCUCCAGACCAGAAGUUUAGCUGGGAGGGGAGUCUUGGUUCCAUUUGUGUGCUGGAGCUAGCUCAGCCAAUGACCACAUGCCUACAGUGACCAAUCAUCUAGACUGCAGAGGUGGAUCUCAGCCUACACUUGUUGUCUCAGCAUAAUUAUUGAUAGUGCCCCAUGCUCUCAGAAGUAUCAAUUUAAAUAAUAAAGCACAUGGUUAUCCACAGGGUAGGGCAAUGAGGAGCCUCUUCCAAGUCAGAGGGCAGGAUACUUGUUCAGCACAGCCUGAAGAGUCAAUAUGGUGGGAGAAUCUGCAUCAAAGUCAGGGAUGAAAGUUGAAGUGGUGGCUGGAAAGAAAGCCAAGGUGGAAGCCCUAACCGUGACAUUAACAAUGACUGGCACGGGACAGGAGAGUCCAUCUGGUGCCACUCUCUGGCUUACAGCUCUAAACUAGAGAAGCUCCACUUCCAAAUCCUAUCCGAUCUUUCUCACAUUAUUUUUUGACAGUAAGUUCAGGUAACUGAAAA
rnacentral:lncRNA from 1 species